AAAGGUGACAUAUGCUGAUUCAAAUGGAAAAAAGGCCAGGAAAUCAAAUUUAAACUAUGAGCCAGCUCACAGAAUUGUCCCUUCUCAUGAUUCAUCAAUUAAACAACAAAACUACUAUCAAGAUCGCUCUCAAGAAAAAGUAUGUAAGAUGAAAUUCACUGA